GUUGCACAGAGCUCUGGGUUCCUGGCUGUCAGAGGGAGGUCCUUGUGCGCCCUCUAGGAAACAGGACAAAGACGACAUGAAAAGCGGAUGUCUGUGCCUCCUUGUACCUUUGAGCAGAGUACUGUCCACAGCCAUAGCUGUCGCAUGUCCGGAUCUCAUUGGAAGAUUUGCUGGCACAUAUGUUAGCCCAUGGUCCUGCCAGGGCUGCAGAGGAGAGAGUAUAUAUGCUGUGAAGAAGAGCUGCAGAAUAUGGUUGGAUUCAACUGUACUUUCAACUUACCCGUGGAAAUCAAGGCAGCUGCAACGAGGACUGUUGUGGAAAACAUCUGGCUUUUGCUUCCUGUCUCUUCCUCUAAUUAGAAUUGCUCCGUGCACACACUGUUCAAGCUUGAGUUAAUAU